CCAUUAACAGAAACCCGUAAAUCCGAACUUGUGCUGUUUUAUAUCUGUUACAAGACCGGCAUUAUGGGAGUCUGUCAAUGCAAACAACUGGUUUUUGGCA
ensembl:ncRNA mir-100 mir-100 stem loop